AGAGUUUGAUCAUGGCUCAGGAUGAACGCUAGCGACAGGCUUAACACAUGCAAGUCGAGGGGCAGCAUGAUUUGUAGCAAUACAGAUUGAUGGCGACCGGCGCACGGGUGAGUAACGCGUAUGCAAUUUACCUAUCAGAGGGGGAUAGCCCGGCGAAAGUCGGAUUAAUACCCCAUAAAACAGGGGUCCCGCAUGGGAAUAUUUGUUAAAGAUUCAUCGCUGAUAGAUAGGCAUGCGUUUCAUUAGGCAGUUGGCGGGGUAACGGCCCACCAAACCGACGAUGGAUAGGGGUUCUGAGAGGAAGGUCCCCCACAUUGGUACUGAGACACGGACCAAACUCCUACGGGAGGCAACA
rnacentral:rRNA from 1 species